CAGGCUGCCAGGAGACAAAAAAAGAGAAAAAAAAGGGAGAUUUCAGGAAGAACUUCAGUCCAGGUGAUGUAAUCUUUUUUAUGGUAUAUCUAGCUUUGCAAAUAAUAUCUAACUGAAUACUUAAGGCAGCUUGGUGGUGCUGGGAGGGGUGUGGUAUAUGUAUGUUAAGAAAUGCUUGCCCGCUGGGAAAGGAAUGCCACGUAGGCAAGCCCAGACAAGUACGGACAUGUUCUGUGGCUAAGGCAAUAUGCGCAUGGGCUAAGAGAAGGCAGCCAAUAGUAACGGUACAGCGUGUUAAGUGGGAGAAAGCUAUAUAAGGCUGAAGCAAGCCAAGUGGGGUGGUGCUUGCUUUGCGAACGAUCGCCAAGCACCCCUCUCUGCGCAGACUUGAAACAAUAAAGAUUAAGUUGGAUCCUCCACCCCUGUGUGUUUAUUGGCAAAAGCGCACCGGGCACGAACUCACACUGUCCUUUGUGGACAACAAUUUGGCGACCCAGAUGGCACCCCAUUGACCGCUUUGCCCGGUCCACCUCCUCGGCUCCGGCAACGGCUGUGGACGGCGAGAGGACCAGGCGCCACCGGCCCUUUCGUCAGAGGUCUGACCGUCUCCUGGUUGUUUGACGGAGCCAUGGAGGGGCACAACGGCGCAACGCUCGGAGGAACAAAUUAAUCCAACGGGACGAGGGAGGUCUCAAUGGACUGGUAUGUCCAAGAGCGACUUCCACUGCCUUUAGAUACUCCAGUCCACAAGUUCCAAACUGGAGAUGAGGUUUUGGUCCGAACGUGGAAAGACGAGCCUCUUCAACCCAAGUGGAAGGGACUGUAUCCCGUGAUCCUCACCACUCAUACAGCGGUGAAGGUUCAAGGGGUAAAGCCAUGGAUCCACUAUAUCAGGGUAAAGGCCGCGCCGGAAGUUUCUUCCGAGGGAGCAGUUGCUGAGAGUGUCGCACUAGAAGCCGACACAAAAGGACAUCAUUGGAUAGCAGAGCCUGUGGAAGGACUUAGAUUCUUGUUUAAACAUCAGCCAUGUGGAAAGUAGUUCUUUACCUAAGUCUAGGGUUUCUAGGGUUGGAGGGAUUGUUACAUCGAAAAUUUGAGAAAAACCAAAAUGUGUGGAUUUACUUGGCAAAAGAGGUGGUGAACAGAACUCAUUUCUGUUUGGCUGGUGUUUACCUCAUGCCUCAUAGGGGUACCCACUCCAUUAGAAACGCUCCAAAGUCAGAUUUGGCUAAAAAACUUCGACCUUUCGGGGUUUAAUCUCUGGAAUACGGCCUAUGAGUGGGGACCCAUUACUCAGAAGAGAAACAUUAGUACCUUUUCGAUAGAUUUGCUAACCGUGACCUCACCUAGUAACACCAGUUGUGCUCAAUUUGUAAAUUGUACCAAAGUUUGUGAAAACCUAACCUGAGAGGAAGGGACUUUCAACUGUUCAAACAAAACCAAUGUGUCUUAUGGUACUGGUAAUGUCAUACUACCCUCAGGAUGGUUCCUCCUUUGUGGGAAAACCGCUUAUUCGUACAUCCCAGCUAAUGCAACAGGGGGACCCUGUACUCUUGGCAGGUUAAUUGUCUGGUUACCUCCAGCAGGCGCCACUGAAGAAGUUCUAGCCAGCUAGACGAGUCCUGUGAUAGUAACAUAAACCUCCUCAGUAAAGCUGAGGCAGUGUCUUUAGCAGUCUCUAUAGUAGGUUUACCAGCCCUGGCAGUAGGCAACCAUGGUCAGAUAAGCAAAGUGGCCUGCGCCUUAGCAAAGGGCCUGAACACAACCUCACAGGCCCUAGCUGCCCUCAGCACCGAGAUGAAAGAACUGCGGGGGGCUAUGCUGCAGAAUACAGCAGCCAUAGACUACCUGUUACUGAGACGUAACCACGGGUUUGAAGAGUUUGAUGGGAUGUGUUGUUUCAAUUUGACAGAUAAUUCCGAGCUAAUAGAGUCAAAGGUACAGAAGUUGCAGGAUAUUCUGUCACAUAUUAAGCAAGAUGAUGGAUUUGAUUUUUCAUGGCUUACUUCUUGGCUUCCUAAUUUUUCAUGGCUAAAGCAGGUGUUCCUUUUAAUUGUAGCAGGUAUAUGUAUUUUCCUAAUGAUUUGUUGUGGAGUGCAAUGUGUGCCUAUGUGCUGUGACUCACGCAAGAAGUUGAUACCUACCCCUGUCAACCAAGUGAUGUUCAUGAAACCUUCAGUCAUGGAUCCAAUCCAGAAGAAUCGAGAAGACGCAAAACGGUUUUUGAGACUAAAAGGAAUGGUCGAGGACUAUGGACCCAUUUCAUAGGGUCAUAGCCUCGAAGAGGGGAUUUGAUGUAAUCUUUUUUAUGGUAUAUCUAGCUUUGCAAAUAAUAUCUAACUGAAUACUUAAGGCAGCUUGGUGGUGCUGGGAGGGGUGUGGUAUAUGUAUGUUAAGAAAUGCUUGCCCGCUGGGAAAGGAAUGCCACGUAGGCAAGCCCAGACAAGUACGGACAUGUUCUGUGGCUAAGGCAAUAUGCGCAUGGGCUAAGAGAGGGCAGCCAAUAGUAACGGUACAGCGUGUUAAGUGGGAGAAAGCUAUAUAAGGCUGAAGCAAGCCAAGUGGGGUGGUGCUGGCUUUGCGAACGAUCGCCAAGCACCCCUCUCUGCGCAGACUUGAAACAAUAAAGAUUAAGUUGGAUCCUC